ensembl:lncRNA
AAAAAACUAAGAUUGUUUAAAAAAAUAGUCCCCACUAAAUAUUUCUCCAUUAUUAAUUUUUUUAGAGGCUGAAGUCAUCAAGGACAAAGUUAAACCAGCUCCUGUAAAGAAAGAGCCUAAAGUUCCUAAAGCGAAGGGACCUGAACCAAAACCCAAAAGAGAAGUCAUCAAGGAGAAACCUAAACCAGCGCCUGAAAAGAAAGAGGUUGAAGUCAUCAAGGAGAAAAUUACACCAGUUUCUGUAAAGAAAGAAGUCAUAAAGGAGAAACCUAAACCAGCGCCUGAAAAGAAAGAGGCAGAAGUCAUCAAGGAGAAAGUUACACCAGUUUCUGUAAAGAAAGAAGUCAUCAAGGAGAAACCUAAACCAGCCCCUGAAAAGAAAGAGGCUGAAGUCAUCAAGGAGAAAGUAACACCAGUUUCUUUAAAGAAAGAAGUCAUCAAGGAGAAACCUAAACCAGCCCCUAAAAAGAAAGAGGCUGAAGUCCUCAAGGAAAAAGUUACACCUGUUUCUGUAAAGAAAGAAGUUAUCAAGGAGAAACCUAAACCAGCCCCUGAAAAGAAAGAGGCUGAAGUCAUCAAGGAGAAAGUUAAACCGGCUCCUGUAAAGAAAGAGGCUGAAGUCAUUAAAGAGAAACCCAAACCAGCUCCUGAGAAGAAAGGUUUGAUUUACUGUUAUAAAAUUGCCAUUAUUCUUAAGACAAAUUAA